GAUGAACGCUAGCGGCAGGCCUAAUACAUGCAAGUCGAACGGUGUCUUCGGACAUAGUGGCGCACGGGUGCGUAACAAGUAUGCAACCUACCUUACAUUGGGGGAUAGCCUUUCGAAAGGGAGAUUAAUACCGCAUAAGACAGUAGCUGGGCAUCCAGCAGCUGUUAAAGAUUUAUCGAUGUAAGUUGGGCAUGCGUCCAAUUAGCUAGUUGGUGAGGUAACGGCUCACCAAGGCAAUGAUUGGUAGGGGAACUGAGAGGUCAAUCCCCCACACUGGCACUGAGAUACGGGCCAGACUCCUACGGGAGGCAGCAGUAGGGAAUAUUGGGCAAUGGACGCAAGUCUGACCCAGCCAUGCCGCGUGCAGGAUGAAGGCGUUAUGCGUUGUAAACUGCUUUUAUACAGGAAGAAACGACUCUUGCGAGAGGCAUUGACGGUACUGUAUGAAUAAGCACCGGCUAACUCCGUGCCAGCCGCCGCAGUAACAC
rnacentral:rRNA from 1 species